CCCCGGUCCGGGCGCCCCGCUCAGGGCCACAGAAGGGUCUGAGGGCUCGGGGCGGGGGGAGGCGGGGGGAGGCGUGAUCCAAGCCCGUGGGAGUCUCCGUAGCCCCGCAGUCCCAGCGGCAAACUGCGCUAGGUCGGACGGACACCCGCAUGGAGGGGGUGGUGUUCACCACCUAAGCUCUGGAGUACCCAGGCUGGGAGGACACUGGCUGCACCCCCUUCUCCCACUGCAGACCGAGGCGGUGCUCUCUCGCUCUGCAACCAAUGUAGCUCAGCCUGUGUUGCCCUCCAAAGGGGUGGCCAAGACCACUGCUGAUCCUGGUGCACCGGGGGCUGUCCUCUAGAGACUUUGUGGUCCUUGCUUCUCUGUGUGGGUUGGAUUAAGGAGAGUCUCUGUUGAAGAACAAGACAGAAUUGCUGUGUUUGGUUCCUCUGAAGAAUCAACAAGGCACCAGGUAUUCACAACAGGACACAUGCACUGACUAGAGAAGAGAUAAGGAAAUACAGAGAUAGAGAUAGUGAGAAAUCACCACCCGAGGGAAUGGCCAUGCCUCCCUCU